rnacentral:tRNA from 1 species
CGCGGGAUAGAGCAGAGGCAGCUCGUCAGGCUCAUAACCUGAAGGUCGUGGGUUCGAAUCCCUCUCCCGCAA